UGUCAGUGAGGCAGUUUGUUACUUGUAUUAUAAGUGGAGGCCGAUAAACAAGCGACAAAAUCAUAUACCACUCCAUCCCCGCAAACGCCAUCAUCACAAGCAUCAAACACUCGAAACUACAUUAUCACUAAUAAGGAUCUUGCCAAGUUGACAACUAGUUAUUUACGAAAAUUCAAGACUCAAGCAAUGAAAAUGAAAUCAAGUGGUGAUAGCAUAUCUGUUACAAUACCAACAACCGUGUACGGUCAUGAGCAGACAACUAUCAUUGAUUAUGAAGACAUGCUUGAUUGGUGCUUCCAAAGAGCGAUUGGAGUGACUCACUUGUCAAUUUUCAUGAAAUACUUGAGCGAAAAAUGUCAAGAAGAUAGUGUAUCUGGGAUGUAUGGAUUUUGCGAUCCAAAUUAUAUAUCUCCUUUGACACGAAUAAGUGAAGAAGAGCGAACCGACUAUCUAGCUCGUAUCUUUGGC